UACGGGGGUGGCGAGCGUUACUCGGAUUUAUUGGGUGUAAAGGGCAGGUAGGUGGCUAUGUAAGUUAGGGGUGAAAUCCUUUGGCUUAACCAAAGAACUGCCUCUAAUACUGCAUGGCUUGAGGCUGAAAGAGGAGAAUGGAAUUCCCGGUGUAAGGGUGAAAUCUGUAGAUAUCGGGAAGAACACCCGUGGCGAAAGCGGUUCUCUGGUUCAGCCCUGACGCUGAGCUGCGAAAGCUAGGGUAG
rnacentral:rRNA from 1 species